rnacentral:lncRNA from 10 species
UGCGCGCCCCAGCAAUCUAAGCAGAUGGCCGCACUGUCGGGAACAUCUGGAGGUCGCCGGAGUACGUGCCUGUGUAUGGAGUGAAAGAGGUUCAGGGACUACCGGGAGCAAGAAACCAAGAAUCUGAAGCAGAGAAAGACUGGCUGAAAGACGAACCCACAGAGAAGAGAGAGCCCGGCUCGGGCAGAAAAGCUGGCAGGAGAGGAGAGAGAAAGUCAACAGAUUGAGUUUUUCUUUUAGGAGGAAACCAUUGGCUUCUGGUUAGAGUUCUAAGAAGGGAAACUGGCGUGUGAGUAGGCAGCAGUUUCAGUCUAUUCCCCCUGCUGUAGCUCUUGGGCUCUCACCCCUCUUUAUGGAAAAACGUUUGUAAAAAUGGACAGAGAAGAGGAUUCUGGGUAGAUGGCAGAGUAGGA